rnacentral:miRNA from 1 species
UACCUCUUCGACUGGAAGGAAAUCCUUCCAGUCGACGAGGUAUGUACCUCGUCGACUGAGGAAACCCUCCGGUCGACAAGGUACAUGGAAGGGUGUCCUUCCGGUCGACGAGGUACAUGUACCUUGUCAACUGGAAGGAUUUCCUUCCAGCCGGAGAGGUA